AUUGAACGCUGGCGGUAUGCUUAACACAUGCAAGUCGAACGGUAGCAGGCCUUCGGGCGCUGACGAGUGGCGGACGGGUGAGUAAUGCAUAGGAAUCUGCCUAUUAGUGGGAGAUAACGUGGGGAAACUCACGCUAAUACCGCAUACGCCCUACGGGGGAAAGCGGGGGACUUUCGGGCCUCGCGCUAAUAGAUGAGCCUAUGUUGGAUUAGCUAGUUGGUAGGGUAAAGGCCUACCAAGGCGAUGAUCCACAGCUGGUCUGAGAGGAUGAUCAGCCACACUGGGACUGAGACACGGCCCAGACUCCUACGGGAGGCAGCAGUGGGGAAUAUUGGACAAUGGGCGAAAGCCUGAUCCGGCAAUACCGCGUGUGUGAAGAAGGCCUGAGGGUUGUAAAGCACUUUCAAUGGGAAGGAAUACCUACCGGCCAAUACCCGGUAGACUGACAUUACCCAUACAAGAAGCACCGGCUAACUCCGUGCCAGCCGCCGCCGUAAAAC
rnacentral:rRNA from 1 species